GACAUCCUGCUAAGGAAACAAGAAUAGUCCUCAGGUUUCUGCCUUCUGCAUAACUGGCUUACCAAGCAAAAAGACGUCGCAUGUCAAAGUCUACUGCCCUUAUGAGUGAGAGUGACGAGACUGCGAGCGUUGUUGGUGCCAGGCAGGAGCCGUCCAUCUGGGAGCAGAACAGCUGCUACUAUCACUGAGAUAAGUAUCUGUUUUGCUGAGGGUUCUGCUCACGGCCCACCUGGCUACAGGUAGAGACACCCCGUUAGGUGGGGUGGGUUUGUAAGAAAAGGUUCCUGACUAGCUGUGGUUUUGAGGGAGACAGUCCCCAUUUUCAGGGGCUGAUGAUUUCUCUGGCCAGGAUCGGUGUGUCCUCGGCAGGAGAACGUUAGAUCCAUGAGGGAUGACUCCAGGUGGUGAGUUGCUUGCCUUCCUCCUCUGUUACUCUCUGUCUUCUCUACUCUACUCUACUAUGUUGGCCAACACACACUCUCUCUCUCUCUCUCUCUCUCUCUCUCUCUCUCUUUCUCUCUCUCUCUCUCUCUCUCUCUUGGCUGUCUCCCUUCAUAGGGCACGGGCAGGAGUGUUACGUGUGCAUCCCCUCAGGCUAGGUCUCGGGAGCUAUGAACAAGUAGGAGGGGACGGAAAUCAUGCAUCGUAGUGGGUGCUAGAGUGGAGGGGUGACUGUGGAUGUUGACUGUCUCACUUCAAGUGGGCCUGAUGUAGAUAGGCAGGGAUGAGGGCAAGAUUACCUGCACCAAUUGAAUUUUGUGUAGUGAUGGCUCAUGCUUCGCUCAUUUCCUGCGCUUGCAGAGGAAUUGUCCAGGAGCAGCAGCUGAAGGAGAAAGUGGCAGACGCGGACCUGAGGAGCCUGGACAUCCUUCUAAGCAGACAUGAAUGGUCCUCAGAUUUCUGCCCUUAUCUGUACUGGCUCUGGUUUUUUUUCAGAGGCUCUGAAUUUCGUCAUUGGACACGGUGCUCUGUGGGAUUCAGACGAGGCAAAGGCACAAGUCUCCUGUGCAGAUGCUGGGUUUAGUACCAAGAGUCCACUCAGCACAUGCCAUGGAAAGGGAGCGAGAGCUGGGAGAUUCUAAGCAUUGUUGAUGCCAGGGAAGAACCAUCCAGCUGGGAGUGGAGCAAGGACCACUGUCAGUGAGAUAAGUGUCUUGUUAGGUGAAGGCUCUGCUGUGGUUACGAGGGAGACAAGGUCCCUAUUUUCAGGGGCUGCUCAGUCCUCUGGCCAGUACCGGUGAGUCCUCUGCAGCGGAAGGUUGGAUCCAGGAGGACGAUUCCAGAUAGUGAGUUACUUGCCUUUCUCCUGUGUUUCUCUCUCUCUCUCUCUCCCUUCUCUAGUAUGUUGGCCAACACUCUUUCUCUCUCUGUCUUUGUCCUUGCCUCUCCUUUGUCGUCUCCCUUCAUAGAACAGGGGCAGGAGUGCUAGGUGUGCAUCCCCACAGGCUUGGUCUCGGGAGCUAUUAACAAGUAGGAGGGGAUGAAAAUCAUGCAGGAUAGUGGGCGCUAGAGAGGGGCAGUGUCUGUGGAUGUUGACUCAGUCUCUGUUCAUUGAGUCCGGCGGAUAUAGAUGGAAUGGGAGAGGGAGGCAGGGAUGAGGACAUUCAUAGAGCUCGGUGUAGUGAUGGUCCUUGCUUGGCUUUAUUAGUUUGCAGAGGAAUUGUCCAGGAGCCCUCGCUGGAGGAGAAUAUGCAGAAGUGGAUCUGAGAAGCCUGGACAUCCUUCUAAGGAGACAUGAAUUGUCCUCGGGUUUCUGCAUAACUGGCUGUUCCUCAUCUGUACUUGCUGUAGUUUUCUUCAUAGGCCGUGUGUUUCCUCCUUGGGUACAGGGCUCUGUGGCUGGGGAGGGGCCAGAAUCUGCUCAGCAGAGUGACUAUGUUGGGUGCCAUUAAGAGGGCCAAUGCAGAGAGGAGAAAAGGGGCCUGAACCCUGAUUACAGGGUGGUCACCCUUUCUUUAGUAAAAUACUCCUCCUUUAAACUCGGUGUGGGUGGGGCGGAAAGUCCCCAAUGUGAAAAGAUCUGGAAAUGAACAGGUGAGGGAGGGAUCCUGCUGAGUGUCUCCUUUCCGAUCAAUCCUCCAUCUCUCAGCGACACCCUUCCGGACUUACCUUCCUACCUCACCAAGAAAAUAACUUAGUGCUCCCUAACCUUUACCAGAAAAGACCCCUCUUCCUUGUGACGCAGUCCUGUUAGUAGGGUUAGGUGCACCCACAUGCUGGCUCUGAAUACCACCGCAUGUGAUUACAACACCUGAACAUCAACACAUUUCAGAAAGGACCGCCACAUCAAUCCCUUCGGACGUAGCCCUAGGAAUCUCCUCUGUCUAUUUCCAAAGAGACAGACACAAGGCCUGGAAUUUGGACACAGCUCAGGGAACUGUCCGAAUGUCUACAGUUGAGCACUCAUCAGUGCGAUGGUGUCUUUCUUGUACACAAGAAAACAAAGGGUCAAAGUUGUGGUUGGUUGAGCGGUGUAAAUUGGGCAGGGCAAAAGGACUUGAGGAAGGAUGAGGUGGAAGUGAGGGUCUGAAAGGAGCCCGGCACCUCACCUGUUCAUUUCCAAACGGUGUGACAUUUGCAUGGUUGGGCCAUUUCUUGGCUUUUUUGAGAAAAGGGGCGAAUUUUCCACGGCCUCCACCAUCCCCUUACAGCUGCCCCUUCGCCACACCAUGUUGCAUCUGACCUGGAUAGGUCGCAAGUAAGAUUUCACUUCAAAUCUCAAAAAAGUCCAGUAGAAAUAAUUGUGGGGGAAUUUCCUGUCACUAAGAGAAAUGGAAGCUCAAGCCUUCUCAAGGGGUGGAGUGUCGCUCAGCCACAGGCACAAAAAGGCUCCCCUAGUUUAAGCGUUGGAGGUUUACACCCUGGUUACAGGGCAGUCUUUUGCCGGGCGUGUCAAAAUGACCUGUGGUUUAAUUUGCUUGGCAAAGGAGACCCAAACCUUCCUUACAGGGUGGUCCUUAAGGCAGGGGCAUUCGAAUGGGGCAGAGCGAAAAGCGCCGUAAAGGAGAGACCUCUGUUCCCUCAGGAGAGCGUGGUCUCAUUGCCCAGCAAGUGCCAGCGGCCCAAGAGGAGCCCUGCACCCUUCUCACAGGGAUUGGUCAGUGGCAAAGAGCGUUUUAAGGUCUAGGUCCUAAGGAGGUCAAAGCCACAGAGACCUUGUGGUGAUCUGCGUGUAAUGUAAUAUCUCACUAUAAGGUGACGAGGCCAGCAAGAGUUAAUUAACUCACAAACUGACCUUGACCCAUGGCCGAACUUUAAAGACUGGUUACGAAGAUCUGUAACGGAAUAGAGGUUUGAAAUGCAGCCUGUAUUGUUAGAGAUAGAAGGGUAAGUGUUACCUCAGGUCUUGUCUAUUGCUAUAGCUGUGAUUCAAAGAUCAAAAAAGCAAUAUUAACAUUUAGGAAGACACUGGAGUGAAAUAGCGUUAUUGUCUAUAUCGGGGACGGCAACCUUUCACAAGUGGUGUGCCGAGUCUUCAUUUAUUCACUCUAAGGUUUCGCGUGCCAGUAAUAAAUUUUAAUGUUUUU